GACGUAGGGCGCGAGCGUUGUCCGGAUUUAUUGGGCGUAAAGAGCUCGUAGGCGGCUUGUCGCGUCGUCCGUGAAAAACUUGGGGGCUCAACCCCCAAGCUUGCGGUCGAUACGGGCAGACUGGAGUGCGGUAGGGGGAGAAUGGAAUUCCUGGUGUAGCGGUGAAAUGCGCAGAUAUCAGGAAGAACACCAAUGGCGAAAGCAGCUUUCUGGGACGGUACUGACGCUGAGACGCGAAAGCGUGGGGAGCGAACAGG
rnacentral:rRNA from 1 species